GUCAGUCACUGUGCUGGAGCUGCUGGCACUCUGUCAUCCCUGGCUGAGGGGCAGUCUGUGCUGAAACUAAUAUGGCCUGAAGUAUUCAGCAAUUAUCAUUUUUGUGGUGGUAAAAUUCCUAGCUUCUUGGCAAUGUAUUCAUGCUUUCUGACUGAACAAUUUAAUCACCUGGAAAAAUGAGAGGGGAAAAAAAGGUCAGGAGAACCUCCAGGCAGUGACAGCAGGAGGAGGAGAGUCUUUGUUCCUCCAGAAUCCCUACAAGAAAAAAAUGGCAAAGCUCUGCAUCAGUAGUGGCACGGAGACAUCCAGAUACGUCUCCUCUCCCGCUUCCUUGAAGUGCCACAAUGGAGCAGAUCAAAGUGCUCAGGCUUUUGUGCCGUAUCCCCAGCUCAGUUCACAGAUGAUGAAAGGAUUCCAGAUUUGGGAAGUGAGAUUAGGAGGAGGAUGGUUGCUUCUGUGAGCCCAGUGACACCAAAGGGCAACAGUGCUUGCUGAAAGCACCGCUUCCCAAUUUCCUCGUUCUGUGGAGAUUCUUCCACUCUUUUCCCAG
ensembl:lncRNA